CUCAACGUAUGUGUAAUCUAUGGCACCCAGUACAUUGGGCAUGGCCGCAAGAUCAGAUAAAGCUACCCUGACUGCAUGCCACUGCGACUCCUGGGAAGGGAAGCUGAGAGAGGCAUCUAUGUGGCCAUCCAAGACAUCCAAAACCUGAGUGGACAUUCCUAAAUUAAAGGUUCAUCACCAUAAAGAUUGCUGUAUUUCAUACUCAGCUGUCCAAUGCAGUUGUAACCUAAACAAGACUCCAGUCCAUUGACAAACCAAUAACUUACAGUAGGUCGCUCCAGACAGGUUGCAGAUUUGUUCCUCGCAGGUACCAGAUAAAUGAGCAAACCUAUACAGCAAAAAAAAAAAAAGGAAGUACAAUGGCAUUACAUCAGUUCUA